AACGAACGCUGGCGGCAUGCCUAACACAUGCAAGUCGAACGAGACCGUCGUGUCUAUUUGCGCUCGGCGGCGUACCGCGGGGUAACCUACCCUUAGGUUCGGAAUCCCUCCCCGAAAGGGGUGCUAAUACCGGAUAAUCUCUUCGGGCCAAAGAUUUAUCGCCUUUGGAUGGGCCCUCAUUAGAUUAGCGGGUUGGUAGGGGAAAAGCCUACCAAGGACACGAUCCAUAGCUGGUCGGAGAGGAUGAUCAGCCACACUGGGACUGAGACACGGCCCAGAAUCCUACGGGAGGGAGCAGUGGGGAAUAUUGGACGAUGGGCGAAAGCCUGAUACAGCAAUGCCGCGUGAGUGGUGCAGGCGUUAGGGUUGUAAAGCUCUUUUACCCGGGACGAUAAUGACAGUACCGGGAGAAUAAGCACCGGCUAACUCCGUG
rnacentral:rRNA from 1 species